AUUGAACGCUGGCGGAAUGCUUUACACAUGCAAGUCGAACGGUAGAGGGGGCAACCCCUCGAGAGUGGCGAACGGGUGAGUAAUAUAUCGGAACGUGCCCAGUCGUGGGGGAUAACGUAGCGAAAGUUACGCUAAUACCGCAUACGAUCUAAGGAUGAAAGCGGGGGAUCGCAAGACCUCGCGCGAUUGGAGCGGCCGAUAUCAGAUUAGGUAGUUGGUGGGGUAAAGGCUCACCAAGCCAACGAUCUGUAGCUGGUCUGAGAGGACGACCAGCCACACUGGAAAUGAAACACGGUCCAGACUCCUACGGGAGGCAGCAGUGGGGAAUUUUGGACAAUGGACGCAAGUCUGAUCCAGCCAUUCCGCGUGCAGGAUGAAGGCCCUCGGGUUGUAAACUGCUUUUGUACGGAACGAAAAGGUCUCUCUUAAUACGGGGGACUCAUGACGGUACCGUAAGAAUAAGCACCGGCUAACUACGUGCCAGCCGCCGCGGUAA
rnacentral:rRNA from 1 species